rnacentral:rRNA from 1 species
GACCAAGGAGUCUAACACGUGCGCGAGUCGCAGGGCCGUACGAAACCCGAAGGCGUAAUAAAAGUGAAGGUCGGCUUCGCGCCGACUCAGGUGGGAUCCCGGGGCGAGAGAUCGCGACGGGCGCACCACCGGCCCGUCUCGGCCGCGGCGUCGGCGAGGCGGAGCCAGAGCGUACUUGUUGGGACCCGAAAGAUGGUGAACUAUGCCUGAGUAGGACGAAGCCAGAGGAAACUCUGGUGGAGGUCCGCAGCGAUUCUGACGUGCAAAUCGAUCGUCAAACUUGGGUAUAGGGGCGAAAGACUAAUCGAACCAUC